UACGGAGGAUCCGAGCGUUAUCCGGAUUUAUUGGGUUUAAAGGGAGCGUAGGUGGCCUGCUAAGUCAGUGGUGAAAUCUCUGGGCUUAACCCAGAAAUUGCCAUUGAUACUGGUGGGCUUGAGUGCAGUUGCUGUUGGCGGAAUAUGACAUGUAGUGGUGAAAUACAUAGAGAUGUCAUAGAACACCGAUUGCGAAGGCAGCUAACAAAACUGUAACUGACACUGAGGCUCGAAAGUGUGGGGAUCAAACAGG
rnacentral:rRNA from 1 species